CAAAAAGGGCCUAUUACAUCUGUGUCCAAAGCCUGAGACGAAGGAAAUGUUCUAGAAUGUGGUGGCUCUCACUCUACGGGUGCUGGGCUAGACUCACGUGUAACAGACUCGUGCUCAGGUUCCAGAGGAAGACAAGAGAAUAGGCUGGCUCUCCAUUCUCUUCAGCUGCAGGCUGUUGCAACCUUGGGCAUUUGAUUAAGGUUUUGAGCUCUAGCCUCGGAGUUUGUGAAAGGGGAGUAAGCUGUCACCUAUCGCCAUUGGCACAGACCUCCUCAUCUUAUUCCUUAUUCCUGCUUGUGAUACGCAUGGGAGAAAACAGUGGUGGGAAGCACUUUCAACGACUUGGAAAAAGAUGUUGGGAAAGGCCUGGCUCCUUAAAUGGCCAUCAGAGGCUCACAGUCAUCUACGAGCCCAGUAACUCUGAUGUCAUUCUUCUGCCAAGUCUCUUCGAUCAGAACUUCGUAAUCAUCAGGGAACUCAAUGGUGACAUUGCUCUCUAGUGAAGGAGGCAAGCAAACCAACCUGCAAGAUGACUUCAGAUGGGCAAGUUGAUUGCCCAGACUCUCACAGAAGCCGGUGGGACCUCAAAGCAAAUCAUCGAAUUCCUCUAAGUCUGUUUCUUUAUCUGAGAGCCAUGGAUGAUGACAGAAGCAAAGACGGCACACACAGCACCGGGCUUUACUGUCAGCAGAGAUCCUUGCUAAGGACUGAAAUGGCCACAGAAACAGAGCUUUGCGAACCAUUGAGGAAACACCAUUCCGUAGGCCUCCAAAAAAAAUGAACACAAUUGGCUUGGGAAGAGACCUUGGAGAGACAGG